UAGGGAAUUUUCCACAAUGGGCGAGAGCCUGAUGGAGCAACGCCGCGUGAUGGAUGAAGGCCUUCGGGUUGUAAACAUCUUUUGUCUGUGACGAAUAUGACGGUAGCAGACGAAUAAGGAUCGGCUAACUACGUGCCAGCAGCCGCGGUCAUACGUAGGAUCCAAGCGUUAUCCGGAUUUACUGGGCGUAAAGAGUUGCGUAGGUGGUAUGUUAAGCAAAUAGUGAAAUCGUGUGGCUCAACCAUGCAUCCAUUAUUUGAACUGGCAAACUUGAGAGCGAGAGAGGUAGAUGGAAUUACUAGUGUAGGAGUGAAAUCCGUAGAUAUUAGUAGGAACACCGAUGGCGUAGGCAGUCUACUGGCUCGUUUCUGACACUAAGGCACGAAAGCGUGGGGAGCAAAC
rnacentral:rRNA from 1 species